rnacentral:rRNA from 1 species
CGGUCUCNACGGUGAGGGACGAAAGCUAGGGUACCGAACCGGAUUAGAUACCCGGGUAGUCCUAGCCGCAAACGUUGCGGACUUAGUUCUUCUCGAACUUCGAGUUCGGNAAGAGCUGAAGGCAAACUGUCAAGUCCGCCGCCUGGGGAGUACGACCGCAAGGUUGAAACUUUAAGGAAUUGGCGGGGGAGCACCACAAGGGGUGGAGUCUGCGGUUUAAUUGGAUACAACGCCGGGAAACUUACCAGGGACGACGGCAUAAUGAAGGUCCGCUUGAAGAGCGUACCGGAAGAGCCGAGAGGUAGUGCAUGGCCGUCGUCAGCUCGUACCGUGAGGCGUACGGUUAAGUCCGCUAACGAGCGAGACCUGUGCCUCUAUUUGCUAUCCUUCUCGAUGGAGGAGGAGCACUAUAGAGGGACCGCUGGCGUGAAGCCAGAGGAAGGUGCAGGCGACGAUAGGUCAGUAUGCUCCGAAUUUCCUGGGCUACACGUGGACUACAAUGGCAUGGACAAUGGGUUGCAACUCCGAGAGGAGAGAGCUAACCCCCUAAACCAUGUCUUAGUUCGGAUCGAGCCUUGUAACCUAGGCUCGUGAAGGUGAAAUCCCUAGUAAUGCCGUGUCCGUCACGCGAG